UGAGGUCUAUCCCGACAGACCUUUCGCUGUAGGGCCGUGUCGUUGGAAAUGCCUCA
rnacentral:snoRNA from 1 species